CCCUUAGAUGUUCUGGGCCGCACGCGCGCUACACUGACUGGUUCAUCGAGUAUACAACCUUGACUGAUAGGUCUGGGUAAUCUUCUCAAAGCCAGUCGUGCUGGGGAUAGAUUAUUGUAAUUUUUAAUCUUCAACGAGGAAUUCCUAGUAAACGCGAGUCAUCAACUCGCAUUGAUUACGUCCCUGCCCUUUGUACACACCGCCCGUCGCUACUACCGAUUGAAUGGCUUAGUGAGCUUUCUGGGCUGUUGCACUUCGUUGGAAACUUCGUUGUGCAUACGGGAAGGAAAUCAAACUUGAUCAUUUAGAGGAAGUAAAAGUCGUAACA
rnacentral:rRNA from 1 species